CGCACGUAGGCGGAUUAGUAAGUUAGAGGUGAAAUCCCAGGGCUCAACCCUGGAACUGCCUUUAAUACUGCUAGUCUUGAGUUCGAGAGAGGUAAGUGGAAUUCCGAGUGUAGAGGUGAAAUUCGUAGAUAUUCGGAGGAACACCAGUGGCGAAGGCGGCUUACUGGCUCGAUACUGACGCUGAGGUGCGAAAGUGUGGGGAGCAAACAGGAUUAGAUACCCUGGUAGUCCACACCGUAAACGAUGAAUGCCAGACGUCAGCAAGUAUACUUGUUGGUGUCACACCUAACGGAUUAAGCAUUCCGCCUGGGGAGUACGGUCGCAAGAUUA
rnacentral:rRNA from 1 species